rnacentral:lncRNA from 1 species
CUCCGCCCUCACCACCCUUCCAGCCCUCCGCCUAGUGUGAGGGAAGCUACCCUGGUGAUGGUCAAGGCACAGGGGCAGGAUGCCACGGGGCUCAUGGUUUUCCUGGGGUCUUUGGGGGUAGGGGGUAGAUAGUAGGGCGGAAGCUGCUUGGCUGAAGGAGUCCCUGUCAGACCUCAAGAAGAAGGAGGAUACUGUGACUAUGUGGAGACAGAGUAUCCCUGCCUUUGAAGGGAGCCUGCUUCGGAUGGAAUGUCACAGUGAGAUGGAAUGUUACAGCGGAUAAAGCCUUUGGGUGGUAACAGGGUCUCAUGAAUGGGAUUUGUCUCCCUCAUUUAGCAAUGAAGAGACCAGAGUUCUCUAUCAGACUUGCACUCUCGAGCAGAAAGGAUCCAAGACUGUUCCAGUAAGGUUUUACUUCCACCACCAUCCUGAGAGGAGACUUGUGUGUCCAUCUUUGCAUUUUAAGAAGCAAACUAAGUCAUACAGUUUUUAUAAAAUGAAAACCUCUGAUGUCUGUUGAGGGUACUUGAUGCUUUCUAGCACUUUUUUAAAAAGCUAGUUAAGAAGCAGCCACUUAGAUAAGAGAGGGCUGGGGUGUGAGGGAAGCUAGCGUUUAA